ensembl:lncRNA novel transcript
GAGAAAACACCAAUUAGAGUUUUUAACAAACAGAGAAGCUCGCUGUGGGGUACAGUUUUUAAAUCAGACAAGAGAAAUUUGGGCUUUUUUCUCUACCUCGGCUCUGCUGUACUGUGCUCUUGCUGGAACUGAAAUUUAUGGGAUUCAGAAUGCACCCCAGGAAGAAAACACAAACAAGCGGGUGCUCUGGGCAUUGUAUCUGAGCAGAUGAAAGCAAAUAUUAUUCUGAUAGCUUUUCAUUUUGCCCUCCAAGGAGCUCUGCGUUAUUAUCCACGACUAGGGAUUUUAAUAGUCAAACUACCACAAAUUUGUCAACACUCAAUUUCUGCCUGGUUACAGAGUACAGCUUCCAUGCAUGGAGGUUAACACAGGUUUCUCUAGCCAAGGAAUUUUUUGAAGCAAAUCAUACUUGCAUAGUCUGUUGCAGCUAAUGUGCCUCCAUUGAUGACGCCACACUACGUUGGCAGGAGGAAGACUAAGUGCUCUGCCUUAACUCAGGCCAGGCUGUGGGCGCAAGUGCACCAACGGCUUUGAGACUAACACACAGCUCAGAACAAGAGAAAAGAAAAUCAGACAAAUGAUGUGCUCUCAUUUAUUCUUCACUUUAAUCCUAAAGAGGUGAAAAUCUGACAGCUCAAAAUGAAGCAAAAACCCAAGAUUAAAACAGACACCAUUUUGUGCCCACUCAGUCUUCUUUCCAGGGUCAUACAUGUGUUGUCUGCAUACCUCAUUCUUCCUGGAUACGGGACAAGAACUCAGUACCCACUAAAUGGCAAGACUAAAACAGCUGUAACACAAACAGUACUGAAACACACCCACCCGUUUGCCAUUUUGUGGGUGACGAAAAGGAGAGAAGUCCUGCAGCCUAUGUCUGGGAACCCAGACCUCAGGGCUCUUUAAGCCAGGACUGUGACAUGCUGUAACAACCUCUUUGAGGCUCUGCAGUUUCUGGGAUCUCCAAGAUUUCGGGCGCCACUGCAUUCCCCUUGUCCAGAUGUUGGUGCCCACAGCAGAAGUCACCUGCAGUACAUCUGGUACAGCUGCAGCCUUGCAUGGAGUUGGCACCUGUGCCAGCACCUGGAGCUGCCUGUCCAUCACAGCUGGCAUGCCUGGCUGUGCACAGUGGCCAGGCCCCACGCUUACCUGCUCACACACCCCUCACUGCUUCAUGCCUAGCUCACACUUGGCAGGUGUGGGAUCCAGGCUGGUAGCAGGAGCUGAGUGCAUCAUGCUAGGCUGAUUGGACAGAACAAGCCCAGUAGGCCUGAGCAAAACUUGGGCAAAGACGCCACCGGCCAUAGAGGUUUCUGGCUGGAAACCAGUGACACCCAAAGGAUCCUGCGACAGUAUCACACCAAAUAAAGGGAAGUGCUGACAAUUAUUUACUCAUUUAAACUAAAUAAUUCAGAUACAGAACAUCUUGUCAUGUUUGUCUAGAGAAAAUGGUUCCAUAGGUAAAAUUAAGAGGCUAAUUUCCAAAGUUGAAUAUUGGCACAGGAAAAAAAACCAAGUAUGUAUAUAGAGAGAAUAGCUCAGAAAGAAAAAAAUGUAACUCUAUGCAAUUGAGAGAGACGAUGUAACUUGAAAGGAUUAACAAUGCACAACGUCAUUGAUCAGCUGAAAAGC